GGCGUGCCUAAUACAUGCAAGUAGAACGCUGAAGAGAGGCUCUUGCUCUUCUUGGAUGAGCUGCGAACGGGUGAGUAACGCGUAGGUAACCUGCCUUGUAGCGGGGGAUAACUAUUGGAAACGAUAGCUAAUACCGCAUAACAAUGGAUGACACAUGUCAUUUAUUUGAAAGGGGCAAUUGCUCCACUACAAGAUGGACCUGCGUUGUAUUAGCUAGUAGGUGAGGUAACGGCUCACCUAGGCGACGAUACAUAGCCGACCUGAGAGGGUGAUCGGCCACACUGGGACUGAGACACGGCCCAGACUCCUACGGGAGGCAGCAGUAGGGAAUCUUCGGCAAUGGGGGCAACCCUGACCGAGCAACGCCGCGUGAGUGAAGAAGGUUUUCGGAUCGUAAAGCUCUGUUGUAAGUCAAGAACGAGUGUGAGAGUGGAAAGUUCACACUGUGACGGUAGCUUACCAGAAAGGGACGGCUAACUACGUGCCAGCAGCCGCGGUAAUACGUAGGUCCCGAGCGUUGUCCGGAUUUAUUGGGCGUAAAGCGAGCGCAGGCGGUUUGAUAAGUCUGAAGUUAAAGGCUGUGGCUCAACCAUAGUUCGCUUUGGAAACUGUCAAACUUGAGUGCAGAAGGGGAGAGUGGAAUUCCAUGUGUAGCGGUGAAAUGCGUAGAUAUAUGGAGGAACACCGGUGGCGAAAGCGGCUCUCUGGUCUGUAACUGACGCUGAGGCUCGAAAGCGUGGGGAGCGAACAGGAUUAGAUACCCUGGUAGUCCACGCCGUAAACGAUGAGUGCUAGGUGUUGGAUCCUUUCCGGGAUUCAGUGCCGCAGCUAACGCAUUAAGCACUCCGCCUGGGGAGUACGACCGCAAGGUUGAAACUCAAAGGAAUUGACGGGGGCCCGCACAAGCGGUGGAGCAUGUGGUUUAAUUCGAAGCAACGCGAAGAACCUUACCAGGUCUUGACAUCCCGAUGCUAUUUCUAGAGAUAGAAAGUUACUUCGGUACAUCGGUGACAGGUGGUGCAUGGUUGUCGUCAGCUCGUGUCGUGAGAUGUUGGGUUAAGUCCCGCAACGAGCGCAACCCCUAUUGUUAGUUGCCAUCAUUCAGUUGGGCACUCUAGCGAGACUGCCGGUAAUAAACCGGAGGAAGGUGGGGAUGACGUCAAAUCAUCAUGCCCCUUAUGACCUGGGCUACACACGUGCUACAAUGGUUGGUACAACGAGUUGCGAGUCGGUGACGGCAAGCUAAUCUCUUAAAGCCAAUCUCAGUUCGGAUUGUAGGCUGCAACUCGCCUACAUGAAGUCGGAAUCGCUAGUAAUCGCGGAUCAGCACGCCGCGGUGAAUACGUUCCCGGGCCUUGUACACACCGCCCGUCACACCACGAGAGUUUGUAACACCCGAAGUCGGUGAGGUAACCUUUUGGAGCCAGCCGCCUAAGGUGGGAUAGAUGA
rnacentral:rRNA from 1 species